rnacentral:rRNA from 1 species
GAUGAACGCUAGCGGCAGGCUUAACACAUGCAAGUCGAGGGGCAGCAAGGGUAGCAAUACCUGUUGGCGACCGGCAAACGGGUGCGGAACACGUACAGAACCUACCUUUACCUGGGGCAUAGCCCGGAGAAAUCCGGAUUAACUCCCCAUAACAUAUAUGAGUGGCAUCACUUGAAUAUUAAAAAUUUAUUGGGUAAAGAUGGCUGUGCGUCCCAUUAGCUAGUUGGUAGGGUAACGGCCUACCAAGGCGACGAUGGGUAGCUGGUGUGAGAGCACAACCAGCCACACGGGCACUGAGACACAGGCCCGACUCCUACGGGAGGCAGCAGUGAGGAAUAUUGGUCAAUGGACGCAAGUCUGAACCAGCCAUGCCGCGUGAAGGAUGAAGGCCUUCUGGGUUGUAAACUUCUUUUACCUGGGAAGAAACCCCUUAUUUCUAUGAGGGUUGACGGUACCAGAGGAAUAAGCACCGGCUAACUCCGUGCCAGCAGCCGCGGUAAUACGGAGGGUGCAAGCGUUAUCCGGAUUUACUGGGUUUAAAGGGUGUGUAGGCGGGCUUUUAAGUCAGUGGUGAAAUCUCCGGGCUCAACCCGGAAACUGCCAUUGAUACUAUUAGUCUUGAAUUUUGUUGAGGUAGGCGGAAUAAGUCAUGUAGCGGUGAAAUGCAUAGAUAUGACUUAGAACACCAAUUGCGAAGGCAGCUUGCUAAACAAAUAUUGACGCUGAGGCACGAAAGCGUGGGGAUCAAACAGGAUUAGAUACCCUGGUAGUCCACGCCCUAAACGAUGAUUACCCGACAUACGCGAUACACAGUGUGUGUCUGAGCGAAAGCAUUAAGUAAUCCACCUGGGAAGUACGACCGCAAGGUUG